rnacentral:misc_RNA from 1 species
GGAGAACUGAUGACCUCCUCUGUUCUCCCUAUGGUGUCUGUCGUCCCGUUAUUAUUGAUGAUUGCAUCAGAGCAAAUUUCUCCAGGGCUAGAUUGGUUCUGGUAUUGCUCAUAACAUUCACUGGCAAUGCCAGUAGAGCCCGUAUGUGGAGUAGAAUAGGAGCUUGGACUAGGAGAGAAAGCAGAAGAAAUUGGAGAAGAUUCUGACAUGAAGGCUGGAUUCUGCCUACCCUCGAUUAUGUCUCUGUAGUGAACCAAAACAAUGUGGUCGUACCCAGGAUCCAACAUCCAAUAGCUACGUCUCUGGAAGUUAGGAUUUUGCUCUCCAUGUGCAUAAUAA